rnacentral:ncRNA from 2 species
AUAGAUUCGCGAAGAAUCAGUCGCACCCACCUCGGGUGCCAGGGAAUCCGGUGCGAAUCCGGAGCUGGCGCGCAGCGGUGAGGGUGAUGACGACGGCGACGAACCACUGGGGACGACCCGGGAAGGUGCCGUACGUCAGGUGAACCCCAGCCCGAAGACCUGCUGAUUCGUUCCACGACAU